rnacentral:lncRNA from 1 species
CUGGUGGUUAAAACUUAACAGACUUAUAUAUUAUAAUGUAGAUGAUUUUAAUGGUUUAUUUUUUUUUGUCUACUGAGGCUGUUUUCAAACCUUCUUUACUGGUGGUUAAAACUUAACAGACUUAUAUAUUAUAAUGUAGAUGAUUUUAAUGUUUAUUUUUUUUGUCUACUGAGGCUGUUUUCAAACCUUCUUUACUGGUGGUUAAAACUUAACAGACUUAUAUAUUAUAAUGUAGAUGAUUUUAAUGGUUUAUUUUUUUUUUGUCUACUGAGGCUGUUUUCAAACCUUCUUUACUGGUGGUUAAAACUUAACAGACUUAUAUUCUUGAUUAACUUCAUACACUUAAAACAAAUAUCAAAUAAAUGGGGAAUAUGCCCAUGGGACACACAUGAUGCUCCCGCAAGUUUCAUAACAUUUGGUUGAGGCAAACUUGGGAACAGACAUGAAAUAUUCAGUAAUUUUACCAUUUGUAAAGAGGCAUAACUCAAGAAUGGUUAGAGGUGACACCACCAAAAUUCAUGCUUCAUCUGUAUUUUAUUGUUAUAAGCAUUGUGUAUAAGUUUCAUCAAAUUUGGUUGAGGCCAACUUAAGAUAGUGAACAGAAAUGAAAAAUUCAACAAUUAUUCCAUUUGUCGACAAUAAAGACAACAACACUCAUGUUUUACCGCAUAGUAUCUGUUUAUUGGGUCUACAUGUUUCGCCUAGUAGAUAGGCAUCAUCAGGACAAUUAUACAAAGAAAUAUGACAGUGAAGUAUGAAUCUUGCGGUUUAGCGGUUUAACCGGAAGUGUAAGUUACAUAAUAGUAGUUAUGGUGAUGUUAUAUAAAUAGAAAGUGAAAGUGAAAGUAAAUUAAAAUAGAAAAUAUAUAAAUAGAAAUGUAAGUGUUUUCUUGAAUGGUAACAGCAUCUCGUGUGGUUGACAUCUAUCCCGUUCUGUGUAGUUAAUCUCAUGGGAGGUCUUUGGUGGUAUAGCACGUUGUAGUUAUCUAAAUAAAUAAUCAUGUUAGUGAAUAUUCCAAAUUGGACAACACCUCACUGUUCAUUUCGUACAGUCAACUGGCUUCGCUCUGGGACCCUGGAGUUACUGCUUCCAAUUGUGUCGGAAAUGGUGUGAAGUGUAUGGUCGUCGCACAUUUUGGAAAUUAAAAAAGUGGUAAAUCCGUAAAUAUUUAAUUAUGAGUUGUGUUAAUGAUUAAACCUUUUGAUGUGGUUUGAUGUUGAAUCUGUAAGAGCUUCCAGCAGGUUUCUUCUUUCUAAACCGGUGGUAAAGUAUUGUAAUGGUUGAGACUGUUAAAUCUUUAUGUUAAUUUUGCAUAGUGUCAUAAAUUCAGCUAGGUGGUUUUGAUUUCUUAUUAGUGUAAUCAUCGGUUGUAGCGGUUUCUUCUUCUCUUGCUCCUCUUCUUGAACAGUGUGGAAUCUUGGUCAUUUUCAGGAAAAGAUCGGGAAUCUUGGUAUUGGUCUGUAGUAUAUCCAUGCUGUUGGUCGUAAGGUACAACGCAAGUGUGGCAAGGUGGAUCCUUGCGGAUGCAAGGGUAUUAUUCCAUUUGUAAAGGGGCAUUUCUUUAGAAUGGUUAAAGUAACGCCACAAAAAUUCAUAAUUGAUCUGUGUUUUGUGGUUAUAAGCAUUGUGUAUAGGUUUCAUAACAUUUGGUUAAAGAAAACUAAAGUUAUAUAACAGAAACAAAUUCAGGAUUUUUUCCAUUUGUAAAGGGACAUAACUCUAGAAAGGUUUAGUGAUGAUGCCAGAAUUCAAACUUGAUAUGUGUUUUGAGGUAAUAAGCAUUUUGUAUAUGUUUCAUUACAUUUGGUUGUGGCAAAC